GACGAACGCUGGCGGCGUGCUUAACACAUGCAAGUCGAACGGAAAGGCCCUGCUUUUGUGGGGUGCUCGAGUGGCGAACGGGUGAGUAACACGUGAGUAACCUGCCCUUGACUUUGGGAUAACUUCAGGAAACUGGGGCUAAUACCGGAUAGGAGCUCCUGCUGCAUGGUGGGGGUUGGAAAGUUUCGGCGGUUGGGGAUGGACUCGCGGCUUAUCAGCUUGUUGGUGGGGUAGUGGCUUACCAAGGCUUUGACGGGUAGCCGGCCUGAGAGGGUGACCGGCCACAUUGGGACUGAGAUACGGCCCAGACUCCUACGGGAGGCAGCAGUGGGGAAUAUUGCACAAUGGGCGGAAGCCUGAUGCAGCAACGCCGCGUGCGGGAUGACGGCCUUCGGGUUGUAAACCGCUUUCGCCUGUGACGAAGCGUGAGUGACGGUAAUGGGUAAAGAAGCACCGGCUAACUACGUGCCAGCAGCCGCGGUGAUACGUAGGGUGCGAGCGUUGUCCGGAUUUAUUGGGCGUAAAGGGCUCGUAGGUGGUUGAUCGCGUCGGAAGUGUAAUCUUGGGGCUUAACCCUGAGCGUGCUUUCGAUACGGGUUGACUUGAGGAAGGUAGGGGAGAAUGGAAUUCCUGGUGGAGCGGUGGAAUGCGCAGAUAUCGGGAGGAACACCAGUGGCGAAGGCGGUUCUCUGGGCCUUUCCUGACGCUGAGGGGCGAAAGCGUGGGGAGCGAACAGGCUUAGAUACCCUGGUAGUCCACGCUGUAAACGGUGGGUACUAGGUGUGGGGUCCAUUCCACGGGUUCCGUGCCGUAGCUAACGCUUUAAGUACCCCGCCUGGGGAGUACGGCCGCAAGGCUAAAACUCAAAGGAAUUGACGGGGCCCCGCACAAGCGGCGGAGCAUGCGGAUUAAUUCGAUGCAACGCGUAGAACCUUACCUGGGUUUGACAUGGAUCGGGAGUGCUCAGAGAUGGGUGUGCCUCUUUUGGGGUCGGUUCACAGGUGGUGCAUGGCUGUCGUCAGCUCGUGUCGUGAGAUGUUGGGUUAAGUCCCGCAACGAGCGCAACCCUUGUUCACUGUUGCCAGCACGUUAUGGUGGGGACUCAGUGGAGACCGCCGGGGUCAACUCGGAGGAAGGUGGGGAUGACGUCAAGUCAUCAUGCCCCUUAUGUCCAGGGCUUCACGCAUGCUACAAUGGCUGGUACAGAGAGUGGCGAGCCUGUGAGGGUGAGCGAAUCUCGGAAAGCCGGUCUCAGUUCGGAUUGGGGUCUGCAACUCGACCUCAUGAAGUCGGAGUCGCUAGUAAUCGCAGAUCAGCAACGCUGCGGUGAAUACGUUCCCGGG
rnacentral:rRNA from 1 species